rnacentral:tRNA from 1 species
UUCCUGGAGGACUAGUGAUUAGGUCAUGGCACUCUCACCGCCAUGGCCUGGGUUUGAUUCCCAGCCAGGGAA